AAGUCGUAACAAGGUAACCGUAGGUGAACCUGCGGUUGGAUCAUUAACAAAAAACUACUUUAAAGUUUCUUUUUUUUUUUAACCAAAAAAAAAGACUUUAAAACAUUUUGUGAACCUUUAUAAACAUUUUAAACAAUAAUUCAAAAAUUUGGCCUUUAAAACAAAAACAUUUUUGUUUUUAAAAUUUAAAUUUAUUUAAAAAACAACUUUUGACAACGGAUCUCUUGGCUCUC
rnacentral:misc_RNA from 1 species